rnacentral:rRNA from 1 species
UACAGGGGGGGGCAAGCGUUGUUCGGAAUUACUGGGCGUAAAGGGUUCGUAGGUGGCCAACUAAGUCAGACGUGAAAUCCCUCAGCUUAACUGGGGAACUGCGUCUGAUACUGGAUGGCUUGAGUGUAGGAGAGGAAUGCGGAAUUCCAGGUGUAGCGGUGAAAUGCGUAGAUAUCUGGAGGAACACCGGUGGCGAAGGCGGCACUCUGGGCCGGUACUGACGCUGAGGAGCGAAAGCGUGGGGAGCGAACAGG